rnacentral:rRNA from 1 species
AAUUUCAUCCCUGGCCACGAAGGGUCCGAGGAAAUGAGCUAGCAGACAAAACCACUAGAAAGACGGCGGAGAGCAAGACACUGAGGAGCAGGCUGACUGGCCUGGCCUGGCAUUGGCGGCAAAGAGAACCAGGCGCUAACUAACCAGAAGCUGUGGAAGAAGCAUUGGAAAUAGCAACAGAUUCUCGCUAAGCCGAUCAAACGACUUAUUCCCGAAUCAAGCAGGACAUCUCUUAAGCUCUACAAGAGCCUCAGCGAGCCCAAGAGCUCGACACUGCUCCAGUUGCGCACGGGCCGAGUAGCCCUAGAUUACUGGCUGUACAAGAUGAGGGCGAAAAGGGGUAUGUGAAGACAACAACAGGAAACCGAAGAUAUCCAAAACAAAAAUAAUGGGGGUGGCGGAUGAACGCCCACCCGAGCAGUGGGUCAAUUUUAAAGUUAUCUGCGAUCACCCGAUUAUCUAUGUAGGAGGCCCGCGUGGAUGGGUCUUCCGAUAACUCUAUCUAAACAACACUAUUUUUUUCAGAGAUCUAGAACACUUGAUGCAGGGGCAAGUGGCUAAAGAAAUUGACGGAAGGGCACCACCAGGCGUGGAGCCUGCGGCUUAAUUUGACUCAACACGGGAAACUCACCAGGUCCAGACAAAAUAAGGAUUGACAGAUUGAGAGCUCUUUCUUGAUCUUUUGGAUGGUGGUGCAUGGCCGUUCUUAGUUGGUGGAGUGAUUUGUCUGCUUAAUUGCGAUAACGAACGAGACCUCGGCCCUUAAAUAGCCCGGUCCGCAUUUGCGGGCCGCUGGCUUCUUAGGGGACUAUCGGCUCAAGCCGAUGGAAGUGCGCGGCAAUAACAGGUCUGUGAUGCCCUUAGAUGUUCUGGGCCGCACGCGCGCUACACUGACAGGGCCAGCGAGUACAUCACCUUGGCCGAGAGGUCUGGGUAAUCUUGUUAAACCCUGUCGUGCUGGGAUAGAGCAUUGCAAUUAUUGCUCUUCAACGAGGAAUGCCUAGUAGGCACGAGUCAUCAGCUCGUGCCGAUUACGUCCCUGCCCUUUGUACACACCGCCCGUCGCUACUACCGAUUGAAUGGCUCGGUGAGGCCUUCGGACUGGCUCAGGAGGGUUGGCAACGACCCCCCAGAGCCGGAAAGUUGGUCAAACCCGGUCAUUUAGAGGAAGUAAAAGUCGUAACAAGGUUUCCGUAGGUGAACCUGCGGAAG